rnacentral:rRNA from 1 species
GACGAACGCUGGCGGCGUGCUUAACACAUGCAAGUCGAACGGAAAGGCCCUGCUUUUGUGGGGUGCUCGAGUGGCGAACGGGUGAGUAACACGUGAGUAACCUGCCCUUGACUUUGGUAUAACUUCAGGAAACUGGGGCUAAUACCGGAUAGGAGCUCCUGCUGCAUGGUGGGGGUUGGAACGUUUCGGCGGUUGGGGAUGGACUCGCGGCUUAUCAGCUUGUUGGUGGGGUAGUGGCUUACCAAGGCUUUGACGGGUAGCCGGCCUGAGAGGGUGACCGGCCACAUUGGGACUGAGAGACGGCCCAGACUCCUACGGGAGGCAGCAGUGGGGAAUAUGGCACAAUGGGCGGAAGCCUGAGGCAGCAACGCCGCGUGCGGGAUGACGGCCUUCGGGUUGUAAACCGCUUUCGCCUGUGACGAAGCGGGAGUGACGGUAAUGGGUAAAGAAGCACCGGCUAACUACGUG